rnacentral:lncRNA from 10 species
CCAACCCUGUAUAUAACAGAGACAGCUACUGAGUGACUAAUGUACAGGUAGCACACACAGUGUGGAAUCGCAGGACAAAGGGACAAAUCACAUGGACAGUAUGAGAUUUCACCCACACUAUUCAGAACGGUGUGCAAUUUACAACUUGUGAAUUGUUUGUUUCUGAAAUUUUUCAUUUAAUAUUUUUGGACCAAGUUUGACUGCAGGUAACUGAAACUGUGGAAAGUGAAGCUUCGGAUAAAAGUAGACUACCAUAAUACCGUCAAGUGAUUAGAUAGCACCCCGUCCAACCCCACCUAUUUGCAGAAGAAAAAAUUGAGGCUUAGAGAAGAAAAGGGACUAGAGUCACACAUUUAAUGGUAGAACCAGGACUACAGCAGCAACUCCGGUUCCCAGGCCUAUAUGAAACGUAACGAAGUUAAUGUGUUCCCUGCCUAUAUCUCCUCAAGGAACUUAGUUACCGCUUUUAAGACUAAAGAAAGGCAAGAUACCUGAUGCUGUAGGUGUCAGUCCUGAGAAGUCAGGUACUCAGAUAGGUGGAUGGGGAGCUUCAUAAAUCAGACGUCCACCUGUGUGAGAAAGAGAACAUUUCUAAAAUCCUUUUGACAUCCUCAAAGAGAGGAUGCUAAAUAAGCACAAAGUAUAACCAAAUCUCUUAUUCACGUGUUC